rnacentral:rRNA from 1 species
GACGAACCGUGCGAACGUUAUUCGGAUUCACUGGGCUUAAAGGGCGCGUAGGCGGACUCGCCAGUCCGGGGUGAAAUCUUUCGGCUUAACCGGAAAAGUGCCUUGGAUACUGCGAGUCUUGAGGAAGGUAGGGGCAUGUGGAACUUCCGGUGGAGCGGUGAAAUGCGUUGAUAUCGGAAGGAACGCCGGUGGCGAAAGCGGCUCACUGGACCAUUACUGACGCUGAUGCACGAAAGCUAGGGGAGCAAACAGG